rnacentral:rRNA from 1 species
GACGAACGCUGGCGGCGUGCCUAAUACAUGCAAGUCGAACGAAGCUGUUUUAACUGGUGCUUGCACCGACUUAAACAACUGAGUGGCGAACGGGUGAGUAACACGUGGGUAACCUGCCCCAAAGCGGGGGAUAACAUUUGGAAACAGAUGCUAAUACCGCAUAACCACAGAAACCACAUGGUUUCAGUGUCAAAGAUGGUUUCGGCUAUCACUUUGGGAUGGACCCGCGGCGUAUUAGCUCGUAGGUAAGGUAAUGGCUUACCAAGGCAAUGAUACUGAGCCGAACUGAGAGGUUGAUCGGCCACAUUGGGACUGAGACACGGCCCAAACUCCUACGGGAGGCAGCAGUAGGGAAUCUUCCACAAUGGACGAAAGUCUGAUGGAGCAACGCCGCGUGAGUGAAGAAGGUUUUCGGAUCGUAAAACUCUGUUGUCAGAGAAGAACGUGUGCGAGAGUAACUGCUCGUGCAGUGACGGUAUCUGGCCAGAAAGCCACGGCUAACUACGUGCCAGCAGCCGCGGUAA